GAUGAACGCUAGCGGCAGGCUUAAUACAUGCAAGUCGAGGGACAGCACAGGUAGCAAUACUGGGUGGUAACCGGCAAACGGGUGCGGAACACGUACACAACCUUCCUUUAAGUGGGGGAUAGCCCAGAGAAAUUUGGAUUAAUACCCCGUAAUAUAGUUGAAUGGCAUCAUUUGAUUAUUAUAGCUACGGCGCUUAAUGAUGGGUGUGCGGCUGAUUAGAUAGUUGGCGGGGUAACGGCCCACCAAGUCUACGAUCAGUAGCUGAUGUGAGAGCAUGAUCAGCCACACGGGCACUGAGACACGGGCCCGACUCCUACGGGAGGCAGCAGUAAGGAAUAUUGGUCAAUGGACGCGAGUCUGAACCAGCCAUGCCGCGUGAAGGAUUGAGGUCCUCUGGAUUGUAAACUUCUUUUAUUUGGGACGAAAAAGGGCCUUUCUAGGUCAACUGACGGUACCAGAUGAAUAAGCACCGGCUAACUCCGUGCCAGCAGCCGCAGUAACAC
rnacentral:rRNA from 1 species